CCUACGGGAGGCAGCAGUGAGGAAUAUUGGUCAAUGGGCGCAAGCCUGAACCAGCCAUGCCGCGUGCAGGAAGACGGCCCUAUGGGUUGUAAACUGCUUUUGUACAGGAGUAAAGCUGAAUACGUGUAUUGAUCUGUAAGUACUGUACGAAUAAGGAUCGGCUAACUCCGUGCCAGCAGCCGCGGUAAUACGGAGGAUCCGAGCGUUAUCCGGAUUUAUUGGGUUUAAAGGGUGCGUAGGCGGGUUGGUAAGUUAGUGGUGAAAUGUACGGGCUUAACUCAGGAAUUGCCUUUGAUACUGGUGGACUUGAGAGCAGGUGAGGUAGGCGGAAUGUCUGGUGUAGCGGUGAAAUGCUUAGAUAUCAGGAAGAACACCGAUUGCGAAGGCAGCUUACUAAUCUGUAUCUGACGUUGAGGCACGAAAGCGUGGGGAGCAAACAGGAUUAGAUACCCUAGUAGUC
rnacentral:rRNA from 1 species